rnacentral:tRNA from 1 species
GCCUGGGUGGCUCAGUUGGUUAAGCGUCCGACUCCGGCUCGGGUCAUGAUCUUGCGGUCCAUGAGUUCGAGCCCCAUGUCGGGCU